rnacentral:rRNA from 1 species
GUGGGGAAUCUUAGACAAUGGGGGAAACCCUGAUCUAGCCAUGCCGCGUGAGCGAUGAAGGCCUUAGGGUUGUAAAGCUCUUUCAGCUGGGAAGAUAAUGACGGUACCAGCAGAAGAAGCCCCGGCUAACUCCGUGCCAGCAGCCGCGGUAAUACGGAGGGGGCUAGCGUUGUUCGGAAUUACUGGGCGUAAAGCGCGCGUAGGCGGACCAGAAAGUUGGAGGUGAAAUCCCAGGGCUCAACCUUGGAACUGCCUUCAAAACUCCUGGUCUGGAGUUCGAGAGAGGUGAGUGGAAUUCCGAGUGUAGAGGUGAAAUUGGUAGAUAUUCGGAGGAACACCAGUGGCGAAGGCGGCUCACUGGCUCGAUACUGACGCUGAGGUGCGAAAGCGUGGGGAGCAAACAGGAUUAGAUACCCCGGUAGUCC